CCUACGGGUGGCUGCAGUGAGGAAUAUUGGUCAAUGGACGAGAGUCUGAACCAGCCAAGUAGCGUGAAGGAUGACUGCCCUAUGGUUUGUAAACUUCUUUUAUAUGGGAAUAAAAUGUUCCACGUGUGGGAUUUUGUAUGUACCAUAUGAAUAAGGAUCGGCUAACUCCGUGCCAGCAGCCGCGGUAAUACGGAGGAUCCGAGCGUUAUCCGGAUUUAUUGGGUUUAAUGGGAGCGUAGGUGGAUUGUUAAGUCAGUUGUGAAAGUUUGCGGCUCAACCGUAAAAUUGCAGUUGAAACUGGCAGUCUUGAGUACAGUAGAGGUAGGCGGAAUUCGUGGUGUAGCGGUGAAAUGCGUAGAUAUCACGAAGAACUCCGAUUGCGAAGGCAGUUCACUGGACUGCAACUGACACUGAGGCUCGAAAGUGUGGGUAUCAAACAGGAUUAGAUACCCUUGUAGUC
rnacentral:rRNA from 1 species